rnacentral:rRNA from 1 species
UACGUAGGGUGCGAGCGUUGUCCGGAAUUACUGGGCGUAAAGAGCUCGUAGGUGGUUUGUCGCGUUGUCCGUGAAAACUCACAACUCAAUUGUGGGCGUGCGGGCGAUACGGGCAGACUGGAGUACUGCAGGGGAGACUGGAAUUCCUGGUGUAGCGGUGGAAUGCGCAGAUAUCAGGAGGAGCACCCGUGGCGAAGGCGAAUCUCUGGACCGGUUCUGACGCUGAGGAGCGAAAGCUAGGGGAGCAAACAGG